rnacentral:rRNA from 1 species
UGUUUCGGCUAGGGGGCCAUCCCGGCUUACCAACCCGAUGCAAACUGCGAAUACCGGAGAAUGUUAUCACGGGAGACACACGGCGGGUGCUAACGUCCGUCGUGAAGAGGGAAACAACCCAGACCGCCAGCUAAGGUCCCAAAGUCAUGGUUAAGUGGGAAACGAUGUGGGAAGGCCCAGACAGCCAGGAUGUUGGCUUAGAAGCAGCCAUCAUUUAAAGAAAGCGUAAUAGCUCACUGGUCGAGUCGGCCUGCGCGGAAGAUGUAACGGGGCUAAACCAUGCACCGAAGCUGCGGCAGCGACACUGUGUGUUGUUGGGUAGGGGAGCGUUCUGUAAGCCUGCGAAGGUGUCCCGUGAGGGAUGCUGGAGGUAUCAGAAGUGCGAAUGCUG